CGGCUACAUCACGUUGAGAAACCGGUUCCCGUGCGAUCGCCGAAGUUAAGCAACGUCGAGCCCGGUAAGUUCCUAGAUGGGUGACCACUUGAGAAUACUAGGUGCUGUAAA